GGACAUGAGGUCAAUCUAGGUGUGAUGUCUGUCAUUCCAGUAGUCACUAGGAUUUAUUUGGCUAAUUUGGCUAGAUGGGAAACUAUUUUUUUCCUCUUAAUUACUCCCCAUGUGUCCUUUCUGGGUUUGCAAACUUGGUCAGAGAAGAGGUUCUCUUCUUGUUGGUGAUGUGCAUACAUCUAAGCUCACUUGUUUAGGUUUUUGUAUAGGCCCUCAUAGGUUCUAAAAGUCACUUUUAAACUAGGCCUAAUGUUAGGUCAUGUUGGUUAGGCAAGAUGUGAAAAUCAUGGGUGAAAUACGUAAGGAAGCUACCUAGUAUGGUCAU
rnacentral:snRNA from 1 species